rnacentral:rRNA from 1 species
GACGAACGCUGGCGGCAGGCCUAACACAUGCAAGUCGAACGAGUGGCGGACGGGUGAGUAAUGUCUGGGAAACUGCCCGAUGGAGGGGGAUAACUACUGGAAACGGUAGCUAAUACCGCAUACCAUCGGAUGUGCCCAGCUGGGAUUAGCUAGUAGGUGGGGUAAUGGCUCACCUAGGCGACGAUCCCUAGCUGGUCUGAGAGGAUGACACUCCCCACUGGAACUGAGACACGGUCCAGACGCCACCAAUACCACCACUUUAAUAAUAUUGCACAAUGAGCGCAAGCCUGAGUCAGCCAUGCCGCGUGUAUGAAGAAUCCCUUCGGGUUUUAAAGUACUUUCAGCGAGGAGGCGUUACUCGCAGAAGAAGCACCGGCUAACUCCGUGCCAGCAGCCGCGGUAAUUC